rnacentral:rRNA from 1 species
GACGAACGCUGGCGGCGUGCUUAACACAUGCAAGUCGAGCGGUAAGGCCCUUUCGGGGGUACACGAGCGGCGAACGGGUGAGUAACACGUGGGUGACCUGCCCCUUGCUCUGGGAUAAGCCUGGGAAACUGGGUCUAAUACCGGAUAUGACUCCAUGACGCAUGUUGUGGGGUGGAAAGCCUUGUGCGGCUGAGGAUGGGCCCGCGGCCUAUCAGCUUGUUGGUGGGGUGAUGGCCUACCAAGGCGA